CCCUUAGAGUUUGAUCCUGGCUCAGAGCGAACGCUAGCGGCGAGCUUAACACAUGCAAGUCGAACGCUUGGCUUCGGCCAAGAGUGGCGAACGGGUGAGUAACACGUGGGUAAUCUGCCCUGGGGUGGGGGAUAACUGGGGGAAACUCCAGCUAAUACCGCAUAUGGUCUACGGAUCAAAGUCUUCGGACGCCCUGGGAUGAGCCCGCGGCCCAUUAUCUAAUCCUUGUUGGUGGGGUAACGGCCUACCAAGGGUACGAUGGGUAGCUGGUCUGAGAGGAUGAUCAGCCACACUGGGACUGAGACACGGCCCAGACUCCUACGGGAGGCAGCAGUGGGGAAUAUUGCGCAAUGGGCGAAAGCCUGACGCAGCUACGCCGCGUGGGUGAUGAAGGCCUUCGGGUUGUAAAGCCCUGUCGUGAGGGAAGAAUCAAAUGACGGUACCUCACAAGAAAGCGCCGGCUAACUCCGUGCCAGCAGCCGCGGUAAUACGGAGGGCGCGAGCGUUGCUCGGAAUCACUGGGCGUAAAGCGUACGCAGGCGGAUCGGUAAGUCGGGUGUGAAAGCCCGGGGCUCAACCCCGGAAUUGCAUUCGAAACUGUCGGUCUUGAGUACGGGAGAGGGAAGCGGAAUUCCUGGUGUAGAGGUGAAAUUCGUAGAUAU
rnacentral:rRNA from 1 species